rnacentral:lncRNA from 1 species
UCCUUUUCUCACGAAGCUCCUUGUACCAUUUUUGGCUGGCCUUGAAUUCAUCUGACCUAACCCACACCUUGAACCUCUCCCAGUCCUCCUCCGAGAUCCCCUUCCAGUGCUUGUUAACCACUGUCUUCCAGUCUUUGCCAAUGAGCUUCCUGCAUUAUAUUGCCACGUGCUCUGGCCCCUUCCUCAUGACUUGGUGCAUCCGCCACUCCAAGCAUCUCCUGAUCUCAUCAUUGGCAGGCACGAACCGCUUCCAUGCCGCCUCGUAACAGUCCUGCUUCACAGCUUCCAGGACGUCGCUCUAUCUUUGAUAGAUCCGAGCGCGUACCCGUACGAUGGUGUUGCAUGUGUUCGAGAAUCUUUCUGCAGUCUCCACUGGUUCCUCCGGGUAGCUUUCUUUAUUGAGCUUGGUGACGACCCACGACUCCGUCGGCACCUUGUUCGCACCCCACUUGGACUUCAACUGAGUAGUCGACUCCGUAGCCUGAGACGUCGCACCCUGGGCUUCUUCCUCGUUAGCUGCUCCUUCAAGGAGCAGCUACUCCUCGGCUCCUUCAAGGAACAACUACUCCUCGACUCCUUCGCCAUGCUCGAAGCCAUCGCUCAUGGCAAUUUCUGAGCCCGAGGAAGAUGCCCCCGCUUCUUCUUCGACUUCUCCCUCCACAACCGGUGGCUGCUCAGGCACCUCUUCAACGCGAGCCUGAGGUUCCUAUCCAACACUUAUGAAAGUAAUUUAAAAAACAAAAAAAUUCGGCAUGACCUAUGCUGUAAAACAAGAAAAUUUCGGCAUGACCAUUGCUGUAAAACAACAAAUGAGUCUACCCGAAUUUUAUACCCGCAUAAAAAAUAUUCCCACCCACAUAUACCCCCUCGGCACAAUGGCCGGACCCUUCUCAACGACCCGACACGAUUGCCGGGCCCACAUUCCUCAUAUCAACCGACACGAUGGUCGGGAUCACAUGCAUGUAUCAAUCUUUCCACCAAGAGCAGCAACAACGAACAUAAACAGCAACCACAUAGCUAGAACUAAACAUUAAAAAGCCUAAGUAACUAGAACUAAACAUAAACAUCAAGAUUUAAACCUAAAUAGCUAGAACUAAACAUUAAAAAGCCUAAGUAACUAGAACUAAACAUAAACAACAAGAUUUAAACCCUAAAUAGCUAGAACUAAACAUUAAAAAGCCUAAUUAACUUCAAAAUUCAAAAAUUAUAAACCCUAACACUACACAACAAUCUAAUUGGACCCUAAUUAAACCUAAUUUAACCAUAAUUGAACCUAAUUUGACCCUAAUUAAACCUAAUUUAAUUAAUAGCAAGGGAGAGAGAGGCCAUACCGUCGCCGGAGUCGGGGCGGCGGCGGCGGGGGUCG